rnacentral:sRNA from 1 species
AAUACCGGCAUGCAGGAUUGAUGGCCUUAUCUGCCAUUGGUGAAGGGUGCCACCAGCAAAUGGAAGGAAUUCUAAAUGAGAUCGUAAAUUUUGUUUUACUUUUUCUCCAGGAUCCUGUAAGUACCAGUAAAUAUUUGAUUCAAAAUGAUUAGUGUAGCUUCAUGUGGAAACCUUCUUGCUUUUGCUAAUGAAAGGGAACAUUUUCCAGCAUCCAAGAGUAAGGUAUGCAGCCUGUAAUGCCGUGGGACAGAUGGCUACAGAUUUUGCACCUGGUUUCCAAAAGAAAUUUCAUGAGAAGGUGAUUGCAGCUCUGCUGCAGACCAUGGAAGACCAAGGCAAUCAACGUGUGCAGGCCCAUGCAGCUGCUGCCCUCAUUAACUUUACUGAAGACUGUCCCAAGUCACUACUUAUUCCAUACUUGGAUAAUUUGGUGAAACAUCUGCAUUCCAUUAUGGUACUGAAGCUUCAAGAGCUGAUUCAGAAAGGCACCAAGUUAGUUUUGGAACAAGUUGUGACAUCCAUUGCAUCAGUUGCUGAUACUGCAGAAGAAAAAUUUGUCCCCUACUAUGAUUUAUUUAUGCCAUCACUGAAGCACAUCGUUGAGAAUGCGGUUCAAAAAGAACUGAGACUUCUGAGAGGAAAAACUAUUGAAUGCAUUAGCCUCAUUG